rnacentral:rRNA from 1 species
UGCGUAGGCUGAAUAUUAAGUCAGUGGUGAAAUCCUGCAGCUUAACUGUAGAACUGCCAUUGAUACUGGUAUUCUUGAAUGUAGUUGAGGUGGGCGGAAUGUGUAAUGUAGCGGUGAAAUGCUUAGAUAUUACACAGAACACCGAUUGCGAAGGCAGCUCACUAAACUAACAUUGACGCUGAGGCACGAAAGCGUGGGGAGCGAACAGGAUUAGAUACCCUGGUAGUCC